GACGAACGCUGGCGGCGUGCCUAAUACAUGCAAGUCGAGCGAAGUUUUUCUGGUGCUUGCACUAGAAAAACUUAGCGGCGAACGGGUGAGUAACACGUAAAGAACCUGCCUCAUAGACUGGGACAACUAUUGGAAACGAUAGCUAAUACCGGAUAACAGUAUUUCUCGCAUGAGAGAUAUUUAAAAGUUGGUUAUGCUAACACUAUGAGAUGGCUUUGCGGUGCAUUAGCUAGUUGGUGGGGUAAAGGCCCACCAAGGCGACGAUGCAUAGCCGACCUGAGAGGGUGAUCGGCGACACUGGGACUGAGACACGGCCCAGACUCCUGCGGGAGGCAGCAGUAGGGAAUCUUCCGCAAUGGGCGAAAGCCUGACGGAGCAACGCCGCGUGAGUGAAGAAGGAUUUCGGUUCGUAAAGCUCUGUUGUUAGGGAAGAAUGGAUAUGUAGUAACUAUACAUGUAAGAGACGGUACCUAACCAGAAAGCCACGGCUAACUACGUG
rnacentral:rRNA from 1 species